rnacentral:rRNA from 1 species
UACGGGGGGAGCAAGCGUUGUUCGGAUUUACUGGGCGUAAAGGGCGCGUAGGCGGUCGUGACAAGUCACUUGUGAAAUCUCCGGGCUUAACUCGGAACGGUCAAGUGAUACUGUCGGACUAGAGUACAGAAGGGGCAACUGGAAUUCUCGGUGUAGCGGUGAAAUGCGUAGAUAUCGAGAGGAACACCUGCGGCGAAGGCGGGUUGCUGGGCCGAUACUGACGCUGAGGAGCGAAAGCGUGGGGAGCAAACGGG